rnacentral:rRNA from 1 species
UAUACAUGCAAGUCGAGCGGACAGAUGGGAGCUUGCUCCCUGAUGUUAGCGGCGGACGGGUGAGUAACACGUGGGUAACCUGCCUGUAAGACUGGGAUAACUCCGGGAAACCGGGGCUAAUACCGGAUGCUUGAUUGAACCGCAUGGUUCAAUUAUAAAAGGUGGCUUUUAGCUACCACUUACAGAUGGACCCGCGGCGCAUUAGCUAGUUGGUGAGGUAACGGCUCACCAAGGCAACGAUGCGUAGCCAACCUGAGAGGGUGAUCGGCCACACUGGGACUGAAACACGGCCCAAACUCCUACGGGAGGCAGCAGUAGGGAAUCUUCCGCAAUGGACAAAAGUCUGACGGAGCAACGCCGCGUGAGUGAUGAAGGUUUUCGGAUCGUAAAACUCUGUUGUUAGGGAAGAACAAGUACCGUUCGAAUAGGGCGGUACCUUGACGGUACCUAACCAGAAAGCCACGGCUAACUACGUGCCAGCAGCCGCGGUAAUACGUAGGUGGCAAGCGUUGUCCGGAAUUAUUGGGCGUAAAGCGCGCGCAGGCGGUUUCUUAAGUCUGAUGUGAAAGCCCCCGGCUCAACCGGGGAGGGUCAUUGGAAACUGGGGAACUUGAGUGCAGAAGAGGAGAGUGGAAUUCCACGUGUAGCGGUGAAAUGCGUAGAGAUGUGGAGGAACACCAGUGGCGAAGGCGACUCUCUGGUCUGUAACUGACGCUGAGGCGCGAAAGCGUGGGGAGCGAACAGGAUUAGAUACCCUGGUAGUCCACGCCGUAAACGAUGAGUGCUAAGUGUUAGAGGGUUUCCGCCCUUUAGUGCUGCAGCAAACGCAUUAAGCACUCCGCCUGGGGAGUACGGUCGCAAGACUGAAACUCAAAGGAAUUGACGGGGGCCCGCACAAGCGGUGGAGCAUGUGGUUUAAUUCGAAGCAACGCGAAGAACCUUACCAGGUCUUGACAUCCUCUGACAACCCUAGAGAUAGGGCUUCCCCUUCGGGGGCAGAGGUCCAGGUGAUGCAAGGUUUUCCUCCCUCAG